rnacentral:rRNA from 1 species
GAUGAACGCUGGCGGCGUGCCUAAUACAUGCAAGUCGAGCGAACAGACGAGGAGCUUGCUCCUCUGACGUUAGCGGCGGACGGGUGAGUAACACGUGGAUAACCUACCUAUAAGACUGGGAUAACUUCGGGAAACCGGAGCUAAUACCGGAUAAUAUAUUGAACCGCAUGGUUCAAUAGUGAAAGACGGUUUUGCUGUCACUUAUAGAUGGAUCCGCGCCGCAUUAGCUAGUUGGUAAGGUAACGGCUUACCAAGGCAACGAUGCGUAGCCGACCUGAGAGGGUGAGCGGCCACACUGGAACUGAGACACGGUCCAGACUCCUACGGGAGGCAGCAGUAGGGAAUCUUCCGCAAUGGGCGAAAGCCUGACGGAGCAACGCCGCGUGAGUGAUGAAGGUCUUCGGAUCGUAAAACUCUGUUAUUAGGGAAGAACAAAUGUGUAAGUAACUAUGCACGUCUUGACGGUACCUAAUCAGAAAGCCACGGCUAACUACGCG